rnacentral:rRNA from 1 species
GUGGGGAAUAUUGCACAAUGGGCGCAAGCCUGAUGCAGCAACGCCGCGUGAGCGAAGAAGGUCUUCGGAUCGUAAAGCUCUGUCCUCAGGAACGAAGAAGUGACGGUACCUGAGGAGGAAGCCCCGGCUAACUACGUGCCAGCAGCCGCGGUAAUACGUAGGGGGCGAGCGUUAUCCGGAAUUAUUGGGCGUAAAGAGUACGUAGGCGGUUCUGUAAGCGUGAGGUGAAAGCCCGGGGCUUAACUCCGGUAAGCCUUUCGAACUGCAGGACUUGAGUGCUGGAGGGGAAAGUGGAAUUCCUAGUGUAGCGGUGAAAUGCGUAGAUAUUAGGAGGAACACCAGUGGCGAAGGCGACUUUCUGGACAGUAACUGACGCUGAGGUACGAAAGCGUGGGGAGCAAACAGG